rnacentral:lncRNA from 1 species
CGAACUGUUGGUUUCCUUGGCUGUACAUAAAAGUGUCACUGUCUGAAGAAUUAUCAACGCUACAGCUGCGGAACGUCGUCGUGUUGUAAGUCAAAACCACCGUCUGAUUCGUGUUCGUGUUAAAUACUACACAUGAAUCACAAUCACAAUCAGAUUAACAAUACAAUCAAUUCAACUAAACUAAACUCAAAUGUCAAAAUCAAAAUCAAUAGCAAUUUUUCUGGAUUCAAAAUUACGCUUACUUAAGUAGUCGCCAAGAUCGAAGGUCUGAUUGCCGGCCCAAGAGGCGUAAUUUGCGGAGGAGGUGUUGGUAUUGGGGUCGAAAAGCCAACCGGCGGGGCCUCCGACAGUGUGAUUGGUGUAUGCGGCGGCGCUAGUGAUGAAAAGAGCAAUUAAUGUUAAAUGCAUCAUCGGAGCCAUUGGAAGCGGCUGAAAUCUUUCGGUGGUCGGUGAAUGGUAGCAGCGAUCUGAUCUCGAAAUCUGUUCAAUUUGUGAUCGAUAGCGUCAUGUGAUAAAGAAAGUUCACGUCGAUAGAGAAAAAGUUGACCUUUUUUUAUACGUUUAUUACAUAAUAAUAUCAAUGAAAUUAUUAUUAAAUUAUUAUUUAGUCAUUUCGUACUUUGCAUUGGAGAAUUCUUACGCGAAAUUGCCCACAAAAAUAUAAAAUUAAAAUUUCCAAACAAUUAUAUAUAAAAAACAAUAAAAAAUUAAUGUUUAAAAAUAUAUCUUGAUUGAUAUAAUACAAAAUUACACAAAUGACAAUGAAUUAAAAAUUUAUAAUAAAAAAUUAAUAUUAUAAAAACAAAAAUUAUAAAAACAAAUUAUGUAAAUAAUAAAAAAUAUAUCUUUACAAUAUAGUAAAUACCAAAAUCACAAAAAAAAAUAUCAAUAAUUUAAUUUUAAAAUUUAGGAAAUCUCCAAUAAAAUUCUAAAAUUUUGGUUCAGUUUGUGUUUCUCCCAACUUAACUUUUUUUUAAAAAGUCCUAAAAAUCAGUAAAACGUUGCAUUAUGAUUCUUUUCACAUGGUUAAAAUCGGUAAAAAAUAAAUUGAAACUAUUUUGUAAAUUUACCUAAAAUAUUGAGAUAUUUCUACAAAAAAAAAAAAAAAAAAAAAAAAAAAAAAAAAAAAAAAAAAAAAAAAAAAAAAAAAACUUUUGUAUUUUUAUUAUUAAUAUUAUUUUUGUUAUUGUUAUUUUACUAAAAAUAUAAAUAAAUAUAUUAUUUGAAAAAUUCUUUAUUAUCAAUAUUAUUAAGUAAAUACAUAUAUUAAUAUUGGUGAGACUAGCCUACUUGGUAGAGGUUCACCUCUUAGGCCCUGUUUGUUUACCUCUUAAUUACAAAAUUAAGAGUUAGUGUCUUAAAAAUUCAGAUCCAGAUCGUUUGGUUGUAUCUUAUUUUUUACCUCUUAAAAUUAUAAAUGCCUCUUAAUUUUUCAGAUACUAAACAAAGUCUGAAUUUUUUAAAAAAAAAGUGUUUCCUAUUUUGCCCUAAACCAUGAUUAAACAUGCCUCCUCUUCUCUUCCGUGUGCGUCUGCUUCCCUUCGUGUCUACUUCCCUUCACCACCAAUUCUCCGAUGACGCCGCCCACCCCAACGUCGACGUCGCUGCACCCCUGCAACGCCGACAUCGCCGCACCCGCUUCGUCUCCAACUUGUUUUUUUGGAUUGCGCCCUAAAGCAGGUUCAUUUCUCUUCUUCUGAAAAUCGAAAAUCAAAAUCAGAAUGUGUUCGUUUCUCUUCUUCUGUUUCUUCAUUCUUUCCCCCUAAACUCGAAAAUCAAAAAUCUAAAUCAGGUCUUGAUGUUAUGCCAUCAGUUUCUGAUUUGUUCAAUCGAAAUCAGUUUUUGAUGUUAUGCUCGAUUUUGAGUAUCAGAUGCUACUUUUUUUUCUUCUUCCUCUUAAAAACAAGUACUAGAUAUAAGCGUUGUUUUUGUCUUUUUUCUGAUGUAUUUAGUUCUUCUUCUGAAAAUUGAGUUUUUUUAUGUUGAAAUUGUAUGUAGUUUGUUUUGAUGUGCUUGAAACUCACAGCUGAAAUUAUGUUAAUUUGUUGUUAUGUUGAAAUUAGUUGAAAUCAGAUGGUCUUGAUGUUAUGCUAAAAUCUGAUAUUGAAAUCGGAUGUUCUUGAUCUUUUGCUGAUGAUUUUUGCAAGUACUAUCAUUUUCUACAAAUUUUCUACAAGUGCUUAUGUUUUUUGUGAGUUUAUGUUUCCCUGAAUUCAGUGAUUUCAUAGAAAACUUUGUUUUUCUUCUUUUUUCUUAAAUCAGAUGUGGAGUAUAAAUUUAUGCAAAUGUUUCAUAUAAAUGCUAUUUUUUCAGAUUUUGUAUAGCUGAAAUUUGAUAUGUAUAUCUAAAAUUUGUUGUUGAACUUUGCUAAUUUGUUCUAUUUUAUUGAAAAUGUGUUUGUAGUUGCUAAUACAAGUUGCUGAUUUUGGUCAUUUGUUGAAAUCUAUUGCUAAUCUUGUUGUUAUGUGCUAAAUUUUUGUUGAAAUCUAUUGUUGAGUGACUAGGGUUGGUGAAUAGAAGUUGAUGGUGUCGUGAAGGUUGCAAUGAUGAUGAUAAAGGUCAAUGACAGGUGGGUGCCCAGUAAUGGUGUAUGAUGGUAGCGUGUAAUGAAGAGGGUGAUGGGUUGUUGCAUGUUAAUGGUGAAGAUGUCCUAUGUGUGUUUCCGUAGAUUAACAUCAUUUUUUCAUUCACAUGUUCAAGAGCCAAAAAGAUCAUAUGUAUUAUUUCAUGUAAAUCUUGUAUGGGGUGUGAGAUCAUAUGUAUUAUUUCAUGUAAAUCUUGUAUGGGGUGUGAUGUUGGCCAAAUUAUUGACUGAUAACUAUAAUGAAAUAUUUGGUUGUUUAGUUUA